rnacentral:lncRNA from 1 species
UCCCCCUUAAUCAAUGCUUUCUUUUUCUUUUGUUUCUUCUUCUUCUUCUUCUUCUUUUCAUCCUCAUGAGCCAUGAAGCAUAAGUUGGGAUGAGCUUCCUUAUCUUCUUGGGAGCUUGAUGUUUCUCUUUAAUUUGCUCCCUCGAAAGUAGUUUCCAAUUUGUCCUAUAUUUAUUUUGUUGAAAUAUAUAAAAAAAUUAUAUUAAACUCAUUAAUAUCUAAAAAAUAAUAAAGUAUAUUUAUGAUC